GGGAAGGUGCCAGAGCGGUUUAAUGGGGCGGUCUCGAAAACCGUUGUGGGCUUUUUAGUCCACCGUGGGUUCGAAUCCCACCCUUCCCG
rnacentral:tRNA from 1 species